rnacentral:misc_RNA from 1 species
AAAAAAAAAAAAAAAAAAAAAAAUCAACAUGGGUUGUUUUUAUUCUUUCCACUAAAAGCAAUAACCAACUUUAUAAUUUAAUUACAGUCUUACCAUAGAAAUUGAAGAUUCAUCACGUAAGACAUGAAUGCCAAAGUUAACUAAUUAUUGUCAUGGAAACUGAAGAUGGUGGGAAAUACACGAAAUGGAUUUAAAAUUCAUUGGUCGGUCUUGUACUUUGACGCAACGGUAGCCAGUAGUCAAACUCCAAAUUGUCCACCAAAGGAAUCCU